AAACAAAAUCCUUGUGGCUCACCCAACUGGCCCAUUAUCCUCCACGCGCACCUCCCCGGCCGAAAUCGACGGCGCCCCACUGCUACGCCCCGAGGAGACAGGCGUACGAGCGACGGAAGUACCGCACCACCGGCAGCGCAGAGGAAGAGAGAGGCGCAGCCAAAGCACCCUCGCCGCCCGCCUCCUCCCCCCGCCGGCCGCAGUUUCUCGCCGCCGCGCCGCCAAUGCCCUGCUCGACCCCCGCGCGUGAUCACGGAUCAAGGGUAGUUGGUACUGGUAGCUUGGUAUAGAUCAUGGUGCUAUUGUGUUUGAUAAGUUAUGAAAGGCUAAGGACACCUUUUUGUAUGUCGGGAGUACCUUUCAAAGUAUCAACCAUACGCGCUGAGGUGCUGCUCAAUGAGACAUUGUUGGAGACAUUCUAGAUCGUCCCUAAGUUGUUAAAGAGAGACUUGUGCUCCCGAACAUAGCAGCCAGCCUGUGAAGGAGGAAAGUGCAGCAGUACUCUUCACAAGGCCUAUUGACUCAUCCUCACCAGCAAAAUGUGUCAUAGAGAGACAGAUAGUGCUGAAGACAGGGAAAUUAACUUGACACGUGCAGCCCCAAGAUGGAGAAGCCUUUUAUAAUUACAGAAUUCCAAACUUAAAGCUGUGCCAAUAUGCUUUCCUAUUUCCAUCAUCAUGCUGAUGUCAAAGGGAGGCUGAGAGGAAAGAACUAUUCGCAAGUACAUAUAUCAUGCAGCAGUAGAUUCGUGUCUUGCUUUUAGUUAUUUGCUUGUAAAACAAGAACUCUAUGGCUUUUAUUUUUUGCUUUACCUAAAUUUUAUGUUUCUGUCAAACCAAAGCAAUACUUGAUCACAAAUUCACAAUCAAUUGCAGUGUGGGUUGUGUCAAAUAGAAUGGGUGAACUGGCUGUUGAUUGUUCCUUUGCUCCAUUUGGACCUCAUAAUAGUACACACAUUACAAUAUCUCAGAUCUAAUGUUGCGAAGUUACUGUUGCUUGAGUAAUUAUGCAAAACGACAUGCAGUCCGGUGCAUGUUCGAGGAAAAAAAAACUGCUGAUUGUGUAAUUUGUGAUAUUAUUCCUUCUCAUCUGUUAUCUUCCAUUCGUUAAUGAUGAUGUUAGGUGGUCAUUAUUGCAGUCUACUGCUGCUGGCAAUCUUGACACUACAUAUCAAAUUAUUAAAUUAAAUGUCCUUUUUCAUCUGGAAGAGCACUAGCAUCCUCCUUUUUGAACAGUUGCUAUUUUCCCGUCUUGUUACUUCUUCCUUUUCAACCUUUUGUUUUUUCUGUCAACUGAUGUGUCAAUUUUUAAAACAUGCAGAUGCAUCCAAUAAUACAGCUCAUACGUCCAAGAAGACACAGGAUAUAAACAAAGCGAAUUAAAGUGCAUAUGCCACAUAAGUUGAAACGGCAUGGAAAGGGACUGCCUGCUCCUGCUCCUCCCAUGGCGAAUGACCACGACCCCCCAGAGCAGCAUCCAGUCUACUUCUACGUCACGAGUGUUCCAUGCAGGGUAAAGCACACACACAGUUGGGGGAGGCGGCCAUGCCCACCUUUCUUCUGCUGCUAAUUAAAACUCAUCUUUGUUAGCUGCUGCUGCUGCUGUUCGUUCGUGCAUGUGCACCUCGUUUUCCCCCCACCUGCAAGAAGAUUUUAUGUGUCAGGCCCAAGAAUUGUCCUCUAUCUCCGUUGCUUUUCAGGUUUUUGGAGCAAUUAGCACAUCCCCGCUUGUUUCGUAUCGCAACGAUUAAAACCAACCGGUGCGUGUGUGCCCGUGGGGGUUAAUGUCACCAUCUGUUCCUCCUCCAUGCAGGACUUGCGGUUGGGCCGAGAUAAACCGACUUUUAGCACCUUGAGCCAAGAGAAAGCUCGCUCACUGAAGCACUCCGGGCGACCCUGCUGCCAUGGUGCAUGCAUUAUCUAGAAGGGGGUGGGAGAUAAGGGACGGCAGCGGCGUGGCGAUUAGCAAGGCUGGCAUUAGAAGAUCACGGGGGUAGGGCGAGUUUGACGAAUGAACGGGAGGGCAUCUUUUCCGGGGUCCCCAACAGGACAUAGGUCCACCCCCUCCCUCCCUCCCUCCCUACAGCACCACACAGGCACAGGCCAAAGGUGACUUACUCGCCCACUUUUCAAUUCAUCCCUUCCAAUUGGGCUUACGAUAAUACUAUUGUUACGAUCAGCAGCAUUAUGCAUGAGAGAGAAAGAGGAGAGAGAGAGGGAGAGGGAGAGGCGUUAAAUUUGUGAUGCAUGGGUCCUGCCGUCCUGGCGAUGAUGAACGAAUGAUCGGUACAGCCGGGAUUCAAGAGGGCUAAAAGAAGAGAUCAGAACAGGACGGACGGCAUCCCAUAGUACGCCCGGCGGGCCCGUCGAAGCCAACACUGGUGCACGCGUACCUUUCGUCUCAUUUCCUCUCCCCUCGUCUCCUCCUCUCUAGUCUCCAGAAGAGAGAAAAGAAGAGGGAGGAGAGAGAGUCGUAGGACACUGGGCCGUCGUCGGUAGGGGUGGGGGUACCGUCCAACCCAAUCCAAUCCACCCAUCCAUUGCUCCCAUGUAGACACAGUCAGUGGCUGGCUACCCAUCGAUGGAUGGAGCGAACGAUGCAGCUAGCGAGGCUGCUAGGGGGGCAAAGGGGAAAAGGGACCACGUCUCCCGCGCGCGCGUGUGUGCCAACCAACUCGACGCGCACUCGCGCUAUAGGCUGCUAAGCUACUGUACAAACCUCCUACGAAUGAGUAUGUUCAUGUCGCAAAUAGUUGGCAGCUGCCCUGGGCCUGGGGUAGCUACCCGGCCACUUCCCCUUGCCCGCUCUCUCGCUCGAUUCCCCGUUGAAUUCGGACGGACCAUGGAUGAAACGCUUGAAAGUUGCCUUCAAUUCAUAUGGCGAAACUUUAACGACGAUGUGACGCGGAACCCGGUGAAACUUCUCUCAAACAUGUGCGUGCAGAUACAUCUUUAUCUUUCUGUAUGCAUAUCUGUUCUUUUGGUAGAAUAUAAUCUAUCUGUAUGUGUACAAGAUGCUUUAUUUUACGUGGUCGGAGCAAGUGAAUACUGCUGUCCUCCCUUUUUAGUCGUGUUUCGUCCCUGUCCGUGGCUAGCUGUCAGCCGUGCGCGCGUGUGUGUGGUAUCCAUGCGUCCGUAGCCAAUUCUGCGCCUCCUGUAUCCCACAUAACCCCAAUGCAUGCCUCUGGAAAGCAUGCAUGUGGGCGCUAUAGAAUGGCGUAAUCGGCAAGAAUCUGGGGUAACAUGGCCUGCUUGCCAUAGGUUUGCGGCAAGGAGUGCUGUUUAAGUACAAGAGGACAUUCAUUCCACGCCACACAAACACACACGAAUGCCACUCUACUAAACAUGCUACAAAUACUACUCGCAUAGCGUGGGCACGCGCUUUACCGCCCUGAUUAAAAUACCUGAUGUAGUCAUUUCAAUUUGUUUUCGCAUGUCUUUGCCUCUUGUUUUUGCCGUUUGUGUACCUUGGUGGCCAAUUUGAACAAUUCCGAUGUUCUCGGUUCUGAGUCCUGCAACUAUGUGAAGAUUUUAGGGGUUUUCUGACCGUGCUUAAUCGAACGGUCCUCUUGCCAUUUCUCCUUCUCAUGCACCCUGAAAGAAACGGUAUCUUCUUUUGUGUGAAGUGGAUGCGUUUUGGGAUAUAUGUGACAACUCAUGGACAAUUUCCGCAUGCACGCCCACUUCUCCACCGAUCCAGUGGCCAGCAGUUAGAAUCACCUUUUUAAUCAACUAUAAAUUGUUCGUCAAAGACUACACCAGGAUUGCCCAACCAUUUGUAGCUCUAGCUUACCUUCCUAAUGUAGUCUAUCCAGGAUUAAAAAAUGUAAUUAAGGACGAGAUCCAUGCAUGCCUCUCUCGCCCGUUGUCCUUUUCAUGGCAAACAAAUGGUCUAUAUGAAUUUGCUUUCAUGUGGUAUUCUGGAGAAUUUGCUUUCAUGCGAUUGGCAUCACUUUCUCCAGCCUAGUAUAUCCAUGUAGCUUGAAAAGAGCCCGACCUUAAUUCUAUUCUAGUCUCUUUCUUUCUCCCUUCACUCUCAGCGAUAGACACCCGCAAAACCAGUAAUAGAUGUUGCAUUCUUGGUAAAAGGCGACAUCAUGUGUAAAUGUCCUCUAAUCGCAAGAAACUGCCCAUGGUUGGCACUUCUUUUCCAUUCCAAUAUGGUAAUAUGAAAUAUCUGUUAUAAUAUUAUUACAUCCAAGUUACAUAUACAGUGUUGUGAAAGCUUUAUAUGGAAUUCAAGAUUCUAUUAUAUUCUCAAUAUGAGGUUAAAAAGGUUUCCACAUUUGCUUUGACAUGCUAAAAUUAAUUGUAAAAAGGAGAGAGCUACAUUAUUCAUUCUAUGGGCAUAGGUUCUAAGUUAAGAUGGGAGUUUAGUUAGAUGCACAUAGAGACUCAUAUCUCUUAUACAAAUAGUAGAUUUUUAUAAGAGGUAUACAAAGAAUAAGAAUGCAUCUACGUUCAAUGAACAUGUCUUUCUGAUCCGCUUUGGCCAUCACAAAAUGCAAAUAGGCUUGCUAACGGAGUUCACUGUGGUCACUAUAUGCAUCUACUAUGGUCACUAGCCCACAUGUUAGCCUCGUCCACCCUCCAUCCCCAUAACUCUUUGUGCUCUCUUGCCAUGAUGCCAUCACGUCGUUUGAUUUAGGAUUGUGGCACCAGUGAGACGCUGCUCGUGUAGCACUACAUCCAAUGACUCUAUGCUCCUUAGUUUUAAGCUUCCACCCAUCCAUCACCAUUAACAAUUAACAAGAAAUGUGCAGGAGACAGGAAAAAGGAGAUGUAUAGGUCACCGAUGAAUCAAAUUGCUAAAUAAGGUGAGCUUUCUUGCCCUAGAUAUUGGGCAACACAACAACACAUUCGCCUGCAAGACCUAUGUUUAAUGAUGUCACUGGUAUGCGCCUAAGGAUAAGGAGUCAGGGGCAAGGGUGCUGACGCAAACAUGUUGAGGAGGACAAUAUAUGCUUCAACGUGGUAGUGUUUGGAAACACACGAGAUUGACCUACUCCCUCCGUUCCCAAAUACUUGUCCUUCUAGGCAUUUCAAAUGGACUCAACAUACGGAUGUAUGUAGACAUAUUUUAAAGUGUAGAUUCAUUCAUUUUGUGCCGUAUGUAGUCACUUGUUGAAAUCUCUAAAAAGACAAGUAUUUAGGAACGGAGGGAGUAGAUGUCAAUUAGCAUGAGGAUAUCAGAGAGGACAUGUAAUACUUCCUCCGAUCCUUUUUACUCUGCAUAUAAGGAUUGUCUAAAGUCAAACUUCGUAAAGUUUGACCAUAUUUAUAUGAAAAAAUAUUAACAUCUAUAAUGCUAAA